CAGCAGCCGCGGGAAAACGUAGGGUGCGAGCGUUAAUCGGAAUUACUGGGCGUAAAGCGUGCGCAGGCGGUUAUGUAAGACAGGUGUGAAAUCCCCGGGCUUAACCUGGGAACUGCGCUUGUGACUGCACAGCUAGAGUAUGGCAGAGGGGGGUGGAAUUCCACGUGUAGCAGUGAAAUGCGUAGAGAUGUGGAGGAACACCGAUGGCGAAGGCAGCCCCCUGGGCCAAUACUGACGCUCAUGCACGAAAGCGUGGGGAGCAAACAGGAUUAGAUACCCGCGUAGUCCCUGUCUCUUAUAC
rnacentral:rRNA from 1 species